GAGACAUCGAAAGGAAAUUGAGGCGCAAGCAUCUACAAGACAUGCAUUCUCUUAUAAGGGAAAGCAAAGGGUUAGGGUUUACAAACAAAAAGACGUAAAUUACCAUAUAGAUUUAGAUUUACUUCGAUAUAAUUGUUACUUCGGGGCACCGAAUUUUGUUAUCUCCGGACACUUUCCAAUGUGGACGGAGUUCUGAGCAUUCACGAUUUUUACCUAAUCGAGUCCUCGGCGUUGGUUCUUCUGAUAAGUGUUAAAUGAAAACUCCUACGUAUUUUUUUCUUCCCUAACUAUAUUCUAUCGAGAAAUUGGAGUCUCCAUCCUCACUCGGCUUCGAAUUAACAGUUGUUUUUAAAUGCAGCCACAUGCAACAACUCAAGAUGUCAUCUCAGAUUACUCAACCCACAAAAGGUAUCACUAUCAUCCACUCAAGACGGCUACAAAAGCUUUUGCUUCCCAGACGAAUCCAAAUCAUGCCCACACAGUUCGAGUGUUUGUUCCCAGACAAAACAGGAAGAGUUGGAUUUUAUGUCUACCAAAGAUGUCACUAGCGUUGAUAUGGACUUCGUUGCCAAAAGCUCGUCCGAGAAGGAAGCCGUAUACAUUAUUAACAAGCUUCAUCUGACCACCGAUGCUGGUUUUUCUUAGGUAAAACAUACUGCACAUAUACUAUGGAUGUAACCUUAUGUUCACCUUAGGUGGGAGUCACCUAUCGUUUGCACUUUUGAAUUGCAAAUGUAGUUGGCAUACUAUAGACAGUAACCAGCCUUCAACAACUCCAUUGACCCGGUGGGCAGCCAUUCCGGUGUAAGAAACUGAAUAUUACCCUUUGGAGUUCAACGGCACAUCAGCUGGGGAAUAAUCCAAAUAUCCAAUUAGUCCAGACUCCAACCCAGAUCCUAGAGGGCUUGCUUUUUGCUCCACUUUUGUGAAGAAUAAUCAAGGUUCUCUGUUUCAGUGUUUGGAUAUCCCUUUUGGCUUUUUAAGUACUCUAUAUCAGUUACUGUAGACAAUAACCAACAUGUUAGUCUGUAGACAAUAACAACACUAUAGACCAAUAGGGGUAAGAAACUGAAGAUUAUCUUCACCAGCUUGAGAAUGCUUCCCAUUUAGUGACCAGUCCAUUUUGUGUACAUGGCAUUGGCUAGAUGCACGACGGCGAAGAAGGUUGUUGAAGACUGAGAAUGAGAAGGAACUGUUCGAAAUUCUACUUCAGUUAACAUGUGGUUUUUUUUGUGUGUGGGAAUUUAGGGUUGAUAGUUACUUCUGCUGUUUUAGUUGGUAUUAUUUUCAUAAAUUGCAAACUCAGAUUAAUAUUUAAUUCUGCAAAGGAAUGCAGUCUUGCAGUAACAUCAUGAUGCAAUUUAUCAAUAAAAACAGAUUACGAUAUAACAUCUGCAAAGGAAUGCAGUCUCAAAAUUGCUAAUUACAACAACACAACACAAUGUUUCCAUUCCGUUGCUUUGAUGCACAAAACAGAUUACGAUAUAAUAAAACUUGUUUUGUUGUGCACUAGGACAUUUACCCUCUCAUCUGUAAGCUGAACUUAGAGAAUUGGCUGAUUGAAUACCUGUUUGAGUGUAGCAUAAUAAAUCUAUCUCGCCGCACUCAAACAUGCACUCAGUCAGCCAAUUCUAUGCCA